rnacentral:lncRNA from 1 species
CAUUACUUUCUAGCUGAACACUCAGCUUCAUCCACUCCAGGACAGCUGAGCGUCUGGAUGGUGUCUCACCCUGUUGCCCAGGCUGGAAUACAGUGGCACGAUCCUGGCUCACUGCAAUCUCCAUCUCCCGGGUUCAAGCGAUUCUCCUGCCUCAGCCUCUCAAGUAGCUGGGAUUACAGGGCUUCAGAAGCUGAUGGCAUAGUUAUGAGAGGGGUGAAGACUGCGACUGCAUUUCCAACAGACCCUGAGGACAAUUGGGAAGAAUGUUGCACUGAUCCUGACCUUUUGGCCUGAGGAUGGAAGUCUUCAGUAUCUGUACAACUUUACUCCCAAGAGCUGGUGUAGAAUGAGUUCCUCUGGCCAUGGGAGGAUCGCAGAGGGGCACCUGCCACCAGCAGCCCAGCCUCAGCACUUUUCUCUUCAGCGUCUUCUUCAAGGUAUUUCCAGUUGCCCGCCCUGAACUGUUUCAGAAUGAGGAGGACACCUGGAGGAAUCUACACGUGCAUAGACCAAUUUGCAAAAGAACCUGUGAGCCAACAUUAUUACCUCAGCUGGAAGAAUUAAUAAGCAACACGUUCACCCAAGAAGUAUUUACUGAGCACCUACUAUGUGCAUUAUUUUCUGGUGUUGGGGCUAGGGGGCAAACGACUCUGACAAGUCUCUGUUCUCAAGGUACUCACAUUUAUAUGGAUGAAGAUAGAUAACAAACAAGGAAAAAAUUGGACAGACAAAAAAUUUAGGUGGUGCCAAGUAUGAUGCAAACACUAAAACAGUAAUGCAAUAGAAGAUGUCAGAGGGAGAGUGGGAAGGUUACGUUAAAUAGAUGUCCAAGGAAGAUCUCUCUGAGGAGAAGCUACUAGGGCUGAGAUCUUAAUGACAACAAGGAACCCAAGGGCUGGAAGCAGAGCGUUUUGAACAUGGCCAGUGGGUGCAAAGGCCAUCACACGUGAAUGGGCCUGGCCAGGUGGAAGGACAGAGGGCAAGGCUGUUGUGGUUGCCCUGUGAGUGCGAACGGCCCAAGAUGGGAUGAAAGAGGAGGUCGGGACCACACCGUAUAGGAAUAUCAGAUCAUGGUCAGGGCUUUGGAUUUUACAGGGGUGCAGUAUAAGCCAUGGGGAGUUUUAGACAGGUACAGAAGUAAUUUACAUUUUCUUUCUUUCUUUUUUUUUUUUUUUGAAACGGAGUCUUGCUCUGUCCCCCAGGCUGGAGUGCAGCGGCGCGAUCUCGGCUCACUGCAAGCUCCGCCUCCCGGGUUCACGCCAUUCUCCUGCCUCAGCCUCCCGAGUAGCUGGGACUACAGGCGCCCGCAACCACGCCCGGCUAAUUUUUUGUAUUUUUAGUAGAGAUGGGGUUUCACCAUGUUAGUCAGGAUGGUCUCGAUUUCCUGACCUUGUGAUCCGCCCGCCCCCGCCUCCCAAAGUGCUGGGAUUACAGGCGUGAGCCACCGCGCCCGGCCGUAGUUUACAUUUUCUAAAGCGUACUCUGCCAGCCAAGUGGCAAACAGACUUGGGCCUCUUAAGAGUGGAAGCAGGAGGAAACCCGAAGAUCCUGGAGAGAGACUGGUGGCUGGUACCAGUGGAGAGGGAGCAAAAAGGAAAAUACAGGAUACAAUUUCAGGAAAAAUUUCAUACCAAUUUCCUGAGGUAAUUUCUGAACUCGAACAUUUUCAGUGUCACCACAUUGUGUUUCCUGCUGAAUCAAGUCUACAUCACUUCGGUUUUUAAAGCCUUCCACGAUCCUUCCCUGAACACUGUAGUUUUCACUGAUGGUUGGCUGUUUCAAACUCCCAUAUGAUCCAUACUGUAUCAUUAAUAAGCAAGCAAGGAAUAACACACCCUCUGCUAUUCUGUGCAGUGUUUCAGGUUUUUAGUUUUCUCUUUCAAGAUAGAAAAUCCCUUUAGAGUAGGAACUCGGCUGGCACUUUCUUUCACAUCCUGCAUAGCACUUAGCAAAGUUCUGUACACAGGGCACAUGUGGAAAUUGCUUAUUGAUUGAUUAAAAGCAUAUAUCACUGGCAUUUGUAUCUUCAGUAUUUCUCUUGUAUGAAGAAGGGUGAUUAUCUGUCAAUAUUCAUUGCAUCAUUGAACCAAUGUACAAUGCAUUAAUCAUCACUGAAGAUAACCAGAUGAGGCUUUAUUGUAAUCUCCUUCUAUUUUGCUGAGAUAAUUUCACUUGCUUUAGAGUUUAUGAGGCCAUAAGUGGCUCCCAUCUGUUGAUGAACAUAUUUCUAAGAGUCAUUUAGUCUCAAGUAUGGAAUACUUGAGGGGAAGUUAAAUUGUAACUUUUAUAUUAAGUGUCAUCUUAGUAACAGAACCAAAAUUGGAAGCAUGUGUUCAAUUUUGGUUUUUCAUUUUCAAAGCUUUAGGUCAGGCAAAGAAUUAAUUUCAUUUGUUUACAAAGUAGAUUAUGCCUAAUAAAAUCUAUUUUGUUUAUGGUCACAUUUUAAUCAAUCCACUGCUUUAGAAAAUGAGAGAAUUCUGAUUGGCUAAUCAUUCAACAUAGUAAAUUACAUUAUUCCACAUCCACAGAACACUGGCCUAAUUGCAUUAUCCAGUAAUGAUAAAAAUAUUCCUUUUAAUACAUUUUGAGCAAGGCAUAUACCAGUGAUGAAACAGGGAAGAAUCUUGUUUAUUCCAUCCUUGUUUGAUGAUCGACCACAGAAUAUAACAUAACACUUCUGUGUAUAAGAAUUUUUUCAACAUUAAGGAUAAUAAGGACAAGGUAGUUUUCACUGGAUCCUUACUGGUACUCUGAAUUUUCACUAUUUGUCCGCAUUUCUUCUCCUUCCCGGAAAUUUGUUUUCUGCGAAAAACAAGUGCUACUUUGU